GGAGCGGCCCGGCCCGGCCGGGCCGUGGUGCUGCCAGGCGGUGCAAACUCACCUUCUCGCGGCUCUUGCGCUCCUCCCGCCGCCGCUCGAACUCCUCAAAGGAGAUCUUCCCCUCCAGAAUCCCAAGGGAAGGAAAAGCACCAAACUGCUCCACAUGAGUACCUGAGCAAAGACUAAAGGCAAACAAACAUUCAUCACAACACUCAUUAGUGUUUGUACAACAGAAGUACAAGUAACAUCCACAACACUCCACAGAGUAUGAGAGGUAAGUGGCAUUUUUUGUGAAUUACAACCAUUUGUAUUAAUGCAAUCAUGUCAGAACACCACACAAAAAUAUACAGAAGUGUUUGUUUAGCAGAGCAUAUGCUAUACAGUGCUCUUUUUAGUCAUGCAUACUUAGGUAAAAAAAAGACAA